CGCCGCCGCUCCCCCCCCCCGCGCCCCUCCCGGCCCCCCCAGAGCACCAGCAGCCAUUUCAUCUCCACCACCAAGUAGGCGCAAAAAAUGGCAGAAAUGGAGAAAGAAGGGAGACCUCCCGAAAAUAAAAGGAGCAGGAAGCCGGCUCACCCGGUGAAGCGGGAGAUCAACGAGGAGAUGAAGAACUUUGCAGAAAACACUAUGAAUGAGCUUCUUGGCUGGUAUGGUUACGAUAAGGUUGAAUUGAAAGAUGGAGAAGAUAUUGAAUUCAGGAACUACUCAGCAGAUGGGGAAAGCCGCCAGCACAUUUCUGUUCUUAAAGAAAAUUCUUUGCCAAAACCAAAAUUACCUGAGGACAGUGUUAUUUCACCGUACAAUAUAAAUCCAAGCUACCCAGGGCUUGCCACAGGAAAUGGACUAUCAGACUCACCAGCAGGGUCGAAGGAUCAUGGGAAUGUACCGAUUAUUGUCCCAUUAAUUCCACCACCUUUCAUAAAGCCACCAGCAGAAGAUGAUGUGUCAAAUGUACAAAUAAUGUGUGCCUGGUGCCAGAAAGUUGGAAUCAAGCGCUAUUCCCUGAGUAUGGGAAGUGAAGUGAAAUGCUUCUGCAGCGAGAAGUGCUUUGCAGCUUGCCGAAGAGCGUAUUUCAAGAGAAACAAGGCUAGAGAUGAAGAUGGACAUGCUGAAAAUUUUCCCCAGCAGCACUAUGCUAAGGAAACUCCAAGACUUGCCUUCAAGAAUAACUGCGAACUACUUGUAUGUGACUGGUGUAAGCACAUAAGACACACAAAAGAGUAUCUGGAUUUUGGGGACGGGGAAAGAAGGCUUCAGUUCUGCAGUGCAAAAUGUCUCAAUCAGUACAAAAUGGACAUUUUCUACAAAGAGACACAGGCCAAUCUUCCAGCUGGACUGUGCAGUACAUUACAUCCUCCAGUCGAAAAUAAAGCAGAAGGCACUGGGGUGCAGCUGCUGACUCCAGAUUCUUGGAAUAUACCGCUAGCAGAUGCUCGGAGAAAAGCCCCAUCCCCAGCGUCUGCAGCUGGCCAAAUUCAAGGUCCUGGACCAUCAGCGUCUACCACUGCCUCUCCGUCUGACACUGCCAACUGCUCUGUCACUAAAAUCCCCACGCCAGUUCCCAAACCUAUUCCCAUCAGUGAGAAUCCAAAUAUUCCACCAGUUUCUGUCCAGCCACCUGCUAGCAUUGUGCCUCCAAUUGGUGUCCCACCUCGCAGUCCUCCCAUGGUAAUGACAAACCGUGGGCCAGUUCCUCUGCCCAUAUUCAUGGAGCAGCAAAUUAUGCAGCAAAUCCGUCCACCAUUUAUUCGCGGGCCGCCUCACCAUGCCUCAAAUCCUAACAGCCCUCUGUCAAAUCCAAUGAUUCCUGGAAUCGGUCCGCCACCAGGUGGCCCCAGAAAUAUGGGUCCGACCUCUAGCCCCAUGCACAGGCCGAUGCUUUCCCCUCAUAUCCAUCCCCCCACAACACCUACCAUGCCUGGAAAUCCUCCCGGCUUAUUGCCGCCUCCCCCUCCCGGAGCUCCUUUGCCCAGUCUUCCCUUUCCCCCUGUCAGCAUGAUGCCAAAUGGUCCUAUGCCUAUGCCCCAGAUGAUGAACUUUGGAUUGCCAUCCCUUGCCCCGCUGGUGCCACCCCCGACUCUACUAGUGCCAUAUCCUGUCAUUGUCCCUUUGCCUGUCCCUAUCCCCAUUCCCAUUCCCAUCCCUCACAUCAAUGACUCCAAACCCCCCAAUGGCUUCUCCAGCAAUGGUGAAAGCUUCAUUCCGAGUACCUCCAAUGAAACAUCUGGGGGAAAGCCAAACAAUAGCUCUUCAUCCCCCCGAGAGUCGAAGCAAGGAUCAUCUAAAUCCUCUGACUCGUCACCGAGCUGCUCAGGCCAGUCCCUAAAUCAAGCUCAAGUGCUUCAGGAGCACAGUAAAAAUGAAGUUGUUGACUUGACUGUCAGACCUAGUAGUCCAGUGAACAGUAAAUUUGGUUUCCCCAGUGUGCUACAGGGUCCACAGGAUGGUGUGAUAGACCUAACAGUAGGCCACCGGUCUAGGCUGCACAAUGUUAUCCACAGGGCUUUACAUGCCCAAGUGAAAGUUGAACGUGAACCUAACAGUGUUGUAAAUCUGGCUUUUGGUAGCUCAGACAAAAGGAACUGCAGUGACUGCAGGGACAACUGCAGCCCAGUUGACUCAAAAACGUUACCGUGCAGUGACGGAGCUCACUGCUGUCCCGUCUCCUUGGCCUCUGGCACGCUGGGACUGGAAGCUGGUGCAGCGGUGUGCAACGUCAUUGUGAAUGGCACGAAGAGCACGGAGGGUUCCAAGAACCCGGAGCCGCCCCAGGAGCUGAAAAAGCCCCAGCCCUCGGAGGAGCUGGCUGUGAGCGAGCUGGAGUCUGUUAAGGAGAACAACUGCGCAUCAAACUGCCACCUUGAGGGAGAUGCUGGCAAGAAGGCUGGGGAAGAGCCCCUUGCUGGGGGAGACAAACAGGACCCGAACCUUAACAAUCCAGCAGACGAGGACCAUGCAUAUGCUUUGCGGAUGCUGCCCAAGACAGGUUGCGUGAUCCAGCCUGUGCCAAAACCAGCAGAAAAGACUGCUAUUGCACCGUGCAUUAUCUCAACACCAAUACUCAGCACAGGGCCAGAGGAUCUGGAGCCACCAUUGAAAAGGAGGUGUCUCCGAAUUCGAAAUCAGAAUAAGUAAAGAAGCAGGCGCUUCAAAGAGACAGCUGAGCUCAUCCUGAAGUCAACAACUAAGACAGCUCAGACAAACUGUGCCCUAGGAAUGGCUUUUUCUCCCUGCUGUGAAGGAAACUUAGUGUGACUGGCACAGACAUGGAUGUCCCCAUAGACACUAAAAGAUGUAGCCUCUGUGAGGAAGAGAUGUGAGACCAGGAUCCUUGUGUGCUUCAAGGGAAAGAGGAUACCCAAAAUACUCUGCAGAAAUAAACAGCAUAAUAACCAUCUCAUUCCAGUGGGUACCACAGUGAAAUGUGGACAGGUUUUGAGCCUUUCAAGUCACGCACAAGUGGUUUGUGCAGCUCUGAUGACUGAUUUGAGGUGUGGACUCUUUGGUUUUAUGCAGACCCCCUCCCCCUUUUGCUAGUGCUGGUCAUAGGCAGUAUAGGGGAGCAAGAAGGCCGCUUAGAUUUCUGGCCUCCCAGCAGUCUGUGAUGACUGCACAGGGCUCAGAGCCUGCCUGUCUAUACAGAGGGGAUGAGCAGAGGAAGCAAGAGGGAACAAGCAGGGGAGCAGAGCAUCAGUGCAGCCUCUUGCACCAUAGCCCUGACCUCAGCUGUGCCCAUGAGUUCCUCAUGCCCAGGCCUGGGGAAGGACAAUGGUAAAUCCCAGCUCCUUUGGCAGUCUGGUUGUGGGGAGGAUUCCUCAUGGGAGACUCCCAACUCUUCAGAAAUUAUAAUAAAAUACAAGCAAGGUAGGAGCUGAACUAAUAAUUGUGUUGACUUGGGCCCUUGGAGGUUUGUAUUGAUUGCACUGGCCACGCUAACCUGGGAGACAGAAAAAGUUCAUAGAAUUGUCUUUUUCUCUCCUGCUCCCCACCUACCCUAAUUGGAAAAUCUGAACAUGCUGCCCUAACAUGCAGCUUUCCUUGGAUUUUAUUUCCCAUAAAAUUGUAUGAAAAGAAGGAAAUUAGCCAAAUAUUUUUACGCUAGAGUUCUGGACAGACAGAUUGAAUUUGUGUAAUAGAAACAUGGGCUCUCUGAAAAGGAAUCAAUGCAAGCGUGACCUUUUCAGGCAAGUCGCCAAACUCUGGAUUAUUUAAUGUACCAAUUACUUGAUUAUUGGAAGUGCUAAUCAGCAACAUAAUCCUUGAUGUUAAAGUUUAGUCUCUCCAUCAGGAUGUGGACUGUCAAGCUGUUCUAGCUUGAUGCAGUUGGAAGGACCAGUAAAAGAUGCCUCCGUGCCAAAGUCCUACAAUGAUAAAGGAAUGAAGCUAGGAAGAAUAUUCUGUUGAGUGUUAUUUUUUCAAGUUUGAGCAACGCGAGUUUCUAAAAUUAGCAGUGUUAGUGUUGACUGCCUGCAUGCUUUAUGUCCAGGCGGGAUCAGUUUUAACCCUCCAGUUCUGGUGUCAAGGUUUCCUAAAGCAAAUAAAUGAAAACACUAGGGUCUGCUUGGAUUUAACAUGACAGUUAUUGUAAACUAAAUUAGAAAACUAAGUGGCACAUGCUAAACUCUCAGCUAGCUUCUGUGUGUGUUCAUUAAUCCUAUGCUGGGGGCAGAGGGGUAACAAAAGGAAGGAGUUUCUCUGCUUGUGUCAGCAGAAUUUCUCCAGAAGUAAUGGAAGUAGUAGGACUAUGGCCACCUACCUGUAAGUCCUGGGGUCAGCAUCUGCUGAGUUAUAGGCCCAAACCUCCAGCUGUCUAGUCCAUACAUUGUAGUUGUAAAAAUGUACAACAUGCAGAAUGCUCCAGUUCAGAGCAGAAGUAAUAUAUAUCCCACUGUGAGCUCCCCUGCCCAUAAUGGUCCAGCACAAAAUUUCCUGCUCAGGUCAGGAUUCCUGAAGCAAGGGCCAUAGCUAUUAACCUCCCUUUCUGCCUUACGAGUUUUUAUCGCUUCCCUGUCACUGUAGCAUCUAUCCGCCGGCAUCUUACCCUGCCCAGCUUCCUAUGAUCAGGACAAAAUUUGACCUUAAAGGUAUACUUGAAAACAGAUUUUUGAUAUUUAAACACAUUUUUAUGCUAGUCGUCUCCGCUGACACAGUACUGUGGGCCAGAGAUUCAGCUAAUUUUAACUGGAUAUAGUUCCACUGGUGCUAAACUAAUUUAAAUCAGCAGAGUAAUUGGACUCAUACACUUAACACCUACUCUUCUGGUUCAGAAGUUUUCCUUCACCUGGCUUCUCAGGAGCCUACAGAAAUUUUCCAUUUAUCCAAAGAGGGAGAGGAGAGGCUGCUAACACCACAAAGCCUUAAACACAUUUGCUUGUAAUGGAAGCUUUGCCCUUGAGAGAUGCCUGGCUCUAGCAGUGUGAUCUUACAUUUUAAAAUUGCCUGUGUAGCUUCUCAGAUGGAUACAUUAAAUCAGAAAAGGGGUUUCCCAGGGAAAAAAAAGGGCUCUCAAAAUGGUGAAGUAUAAAAUGACAUACUUCCAGGGUAGCUUUCAGCUCCCACAUCUUGCUGCCGGGGUGUGGGAGUGCUGACUUCCUUCUCAGGGGCAGUAAAUAGCAGGCUUGUGAUACACUGCCAUAGAUCGCUGCACACUCUUUGAAUCAAAGGAACAAGUGCUGAUUUCUGGUGGGUUCCUCCUGCUUUUCUGUAAAACCCUUUAGGGCAUAUGUUUCAAAUAUGAUAUCCGAUUCUUGAACCCAAUUUAGAAAACAAUUUCACCUGGUCUGAUUUACAGAGGUAGUGAGCAUCUAGGGCUGUUGGCAAACAAAACACAUGGCCAGAACUUCAGCGGGUAAAAAAUGGCAUAACUCAAUUGACUGAAAUCUGCAGACCUUGCAGCUCCUGGAGACUGUAGCCUACCUGUCAACUCCCAGGGUCUGGGACCACUGACUUCAGAGAUCUUUUUUGGUGCUUGCUUGCCCUUACUAGUUGUAAUUGUCUUGUGAAAUGAAAAUCAUUUGAACUGAAAUAAGCAUGUAAUCCAUGCCAUUCCCUAAGCUGGUACCACCCACAUUCAUAUUGAAAUGAGUUACUCAUAAUUCUUUGCCAGGCUUUAAAGACUGACCAGGCACUUUCAUACAUACAAGGCUAAAUGCUCCUCUUAUUUAAGCUGGUGCAAAUCAGACUGGGCUGCUCUCAAAAGUGUAAAGUGUGAAACAGGCACAGGGAAGAGUAGCUCCCCAUCUCUCUGUUCUUGUGCUGUUGAGCUACCAAAGGAAACUUUAUGGGGAAAAAAAAGCACAACUCAUGAUUAAAUACAGAGUCCCUAACAACAAAGACCAUAGUAAACCAGAGCAGUAAACCAGACAAGGGUUUACAGACCCUUGUAAAAACAUCAUCUGAGACAAUGGUUGCCAUUACAUUCAGAGGCCGAGAUGCUGGACAGUAUGUGUCUGAUUGCUGCUGAAAUCUGAUAAGGAGCUAAGCACCUAAUAACCUUUGUGAAGCUUGACCCUGAAACAAUCAUAGCCAACUUCAGUGCAGAACGGUGAGAUCUGAACAACUGUUAGGAUUUUACAAACUAUUUCUCAGGAGCAAUACUUGAAAGUGGGUCAGAAAGAAGCAAAACACUUUCGGGGACUGUGGUUGUGAAAAAGAUGGGCAUAAUCAAGCAGUGAGCAAUAGAUUUUAAGAUAAAACUAAGUUCUUUCUAAAAAAGCAGGGGGAGAUUCAAGCAAAGCAGAAGCAAAGCUGUUUGCACAAGAAAUCACGAGGAAAUCAGAUUGACCAGCAAGCUUUUCUGAAGCACUUUUUGUUUCCAGAUUACCUGCUGAGUCUCUCCUGUCUAUUUUUAAGUAUUUUUACAGAGCAAACCAGGCAAUUUAAGCACAUUCCUGGGUGCUUCCAUCAGUUGAGUUCCCAUGGCUGACACCUACUAAUCACUACCUUAUUUACACUAUUUUGAUAACAAGGUGCAUUUCACUCCCAGGACCAGAGGUUGUGUUUGGAAGCAUGUGUGAUCAUCCUGUGAGAACUGUGAGUCGGAGUAACCUCUGACAUUCUGCAGAACCCUCGACUAUUCGACAUUUUCUUCUACCAUGAGAAAAUUACAACUAAUUAAAUAUCUAGGUUUGAUCCUGUGCAGUACUGUGCACACUCAGCGCUCAGUGCCUCUAAUGCAAGUUGAAAGCUCUCAGCACAUUACAGAUGAGGUCCUGCUUCUGACUCAUCUGCAUGGCUUUACUUCCCCAGACACGAUUUUGGUAUUUGAAGAGACUGGUAUUCCUGUACAACAUGUGUCUCAAUUUGUAAUGGUAUCCUCCCUGCAGCUGGCUCACUUUUCCAAGUGUUCCUGAAACAUUACUGUCUUAAAUUCAAGCCAACCUACAAUAACAAAUUAUCUAGCGGCACAGCGGCUGAACUGUGUUUGUUGAGAGGAUGCUCCCAUUCUCUGCUGCACUCCAUCUUCCCAGUUUCAGACUUUCAGGCUGUGUAAUGUAAUCAUCUUCUAUGGAAGCACACAUUUCCUCCCCCCAAAAA